GCCUGUUCUCUCCUGCAGAGGAGCGUCCCAUCUCAGGCCUGGCCGCCGCCCUCGCUGGAGCCAAGCUGCGCAAAGUGCAGAGGAGUGAUGAUGCAGGCACUUCUUUGGCCGCAGCCAUGUCGGGGGCUGGAGGGCCCGCAGGGGCCAAAUCUGAAGUCAGAGGCAACGGCCCUCUGUCUGGAGGAGGCGGGCUCAUGGAGGAGAUGAGCGCCUUGUUGGCCAGGAGGAGAAGAAUUGCAGAUAAGGGCUCGUCCCCUGAACCUGACCAGAGAUCAG